rnacentral:lncRNA from 1 species
AUGCAUCAUGACACUUUUAGAUAUGUUUUUACAAUAGAACAUAUACUGAUUUUUAUGUCAAGUAACCUCAAACAAAACAAAAGUGGAGCUUCAUUUACAAUAAUAAUAGAACAGAACAUAUGCUAGUUUCGAUCCAUACAAGGUUUUCUCAAAUGCUUAUUAAGGCAUAACACACAACUCCUGUUGUGCUAUAGGAAGAACACUUAAAGAGGGGAAAUUGGACAUUGAAUAGUUAAGUAGGUGUACUAAAAAGCACACAAAACAUGUACUGUAAAAGAACAAAACAUUCUUAGCGUUGCAUCGCCCUCCUGUGGCAGAGGUGAACAUUCUGAUAGUUGCAUCGUCGCACGGCCUCGUGUGACAGAGGUGAACGGCUUGUGGUGGUAAGGGUGAACGUCUUGAGUGCUGCAUGUCCAAAAAAAUUGGUUUUAUUUGACAACUCGAAAACAUAAAAAGGAAUCCUGUCAUCGUCGAACCGAACCCCGCAACACCUAUCGAGCUGCUGAAAUAUGUUAUAGUAUGGGUUAGAUACAGUUCCAAACUAGUACCUGAAACCAUUCCCAAAUAUGCAUGUCAAGCUUCAGAGUUGGAAGUAAUAAACGCCCAGAUAUGCAUGGGCUUAUAUGAGUAUAGAUGAGCUACGGAAUAAACGCUCAGAUAUGAAUCUGCUUCAAGUCAGGUUUGGUUUUUUUAAUUUGAUGCAUGCUUGCACUAUAGAACUGCUACUGGUUUGCAAGAUGGACUUGAGUACUCCCUCUGUAAAAAAAUAUAAGAACAUUUUAGAUCACUACUUUAGUGAUCUAAACGCAUAUUUUCUCUUGUUAAAUUUUCCAUAGUUUACUCCCAAAAUCAUCACCACAAAAGUAACACAUAUGCAUUCCAGUGUACCUUGGCGAUGCAUUGGCUUGUACUGAGGGUGUAGAUUAGAGUGGCUAGAAGAGGAUACAGCAGAGUGGCGUUGAACGACCUGGUGAUCCAGGGUGCUGCUGACAAUGAACGGUCUGGGGUGGUGGCGUGAAUGGCCUGGAGUGGUGGCUGUGAACGGCCAGGGUGCUUCGGCGGCAGAGCCCCACCGGGAGAUGGCGAUGCAAGCAGGAGGUUGGGAAGCAGUGGUGCCGGUGGUCGGGGUCGUCCAAUGCUCAUGGCACAACAGUACAGGAAGUUGAUUCAUCACCCAUCCACAAUUUUUUUCCUUUUUGGAAUCCAUUGAACUGAAAAAAAGCUACAAUGUGAGCUGAAAGUAUGAAAACAUCAUAAUGUUGACGUCCAGUGCGGGGCGGCUACUUGCUCAUGCACUAUUUUUUUUUGUUUCUGUUUUUCAAUGAACUUAUAGGGUUAUACAUUUUGAACUUAUAGAUAUUUUUGUUGAAAGUAUGAAAACAACAUAACGUUGACAUCCUCAGCCAAAGAACACAUCCAUUAAACAAACGCUCUAGUCACCGGACAUACAAUAGCACAUCCAGUUCAAGAUUGACUAUUGAUGCAUGCCUUAAUAAGCAAGAGCAGCAGUACAACAUUAGCAUAAUAGUAGGUAAAGUAAUAGUACGGAGUUAGCCAUCGAUGCAAGCUUUUGACAAAGAAACUCGAUAGGCACUGUGAUUUUGGAUGGGCAAUGGCGGCCACACAUCUCUAGUGGCCAGCGGCAUGCGUUUGUGAACAUGAGAGGCCUAUGAACUUUUCCGCUUUCUCAACUCUGAACUUUUUGUAUUCUUGCACUUGAUCCUCCCCAAUAUUAUUCUAAACUUUUUUAGUGGCUUUUGUUGGUGAGCCCUUCUAUUUCCCUAAACCUUCACAAGGUUUCUUCUCAGUAUAAAGAAAACAAGAAAUAAAAGUGUUCUGUUCACAUAGGCAUCAGAACAAACACCUAGUAACACUACAAAAAAAAGACACAUCCGUGACAUUUUGUGCCGAACAAAUUUUUUUCCUGUCAUACAUAUGACACUUCUAUGACGAUAAUUGUGACAAAUCCUGGUAUCAUCAUAGAUGUGGUGGGCUCCUACUUCUAUGACAAAAAAUCAUGACAGAAAAUGGGCUUUUCGUCUUGGGCGGGCCGGAGACGCAACUGCAUGACAUUCUUUUGGCCGUCCAUGACGGAAAAAACCGUGGUAGAAGCGAGGGGGAGGAAAAUUUCAGGGAGUUGCCAGUUACGGUGGGAGAGCGAUGCGCAUUUCUCUCGUACAGGUACGUGCGUGUGUGCGAGGCGUUGGCUCUAACUGAAGCCGAGCGAGGCGUUGGGCUCUAACUGAACCCGAGCGAUUGCACUGCAAGCUAUGUGUUACUGAACCCGAGCGAUCGAUCGAUGGCUAUUAACUGAACCCGAUGGAGCAAUUCCUUCGCUACUGCUGCGAACUGAAGCCGAUCGAUUGGAUGAACAGUGAGCGUUGCAGGGGGGUUUGGAUGAACAGUGAGUGGUGGCGUUGCCUUUGGAUGAACAGGAACCCGUGGUGUGGAGGGCUGGAUGAAUAGUAGAGAGUGGAGGGGUGGCCGUGGAGGGGUGGUUGAACAGGACCCCGUGGAGUGGAGGGCUGGAUGAACAGUAGACGGUGGAGGGGUGCCCGUGGAGGGGUGGUUGAACAGUAGCCGGUGGAGUAGCGCGCGGUGGAGGCUGGAUGAACAGGAGCCCGUGGAGGCUGGAGGAGGUCGAUGGUAGCCCGUGGAGGCUGGAGGAGGUUGACGGUGGAGAUGAACAGUAUCCCAUGGAGUCCCGUUUUGCGGUUCACCACACCCCUCCCGCUGAACAGGACCCCCGUUUCGACCGUAGCGCCCCAACACAAGUCCGUUUCGUCUGUUUUGCGGUAUGCCACACCCCUCCCGAUGAACAGGACCCCCGUUUCGACCAUAGCGCUCCAACACAAGUCCGUUUCGUCCGUUUUGCGGUACGCCACACCCCUCCUGAUCAACAGCACCCCCGUUUUGACCGUAGGAGGUUCGUUUUGUCCGUUUUGUGGUACGCCACACCCCUCCCGAUCAACAGGACCCCCGUUUUGACCGUAGGAGGUCCGUUUCCUCCGUUUUGCGGUACGCCAGACCCCUCCCGAUGAACAAGAUCCCAUUUCGAACGUGGCCGGUCAAACACAAGGCCGUCUCCUCCGUUGUGCGGUACGCCAGGCCUCGUUUCCAUCGCCUGUUCUGUCCAAGCCCUCCCGAUGAACACGACCACUCAUUCCAUUCCGACCCAGCUGGUUGGCUCCCACGCGUUCCGUUGCCUCCCGAUGAACAUGGCGCAUUCUGUUGCCUCCCCAUGAACACGACGACGACGUUGUUUCUCCGUUCUGACCCAGCCAUGUACGUAUGCGUGAGUAGGCGUUUGAGACCCUGCCCGUAUGUACGUACGUGGCCGUAUUUUCUUUCUUGCACCCUCGCCGUUGUACGUACGUGUACGUGCGCGCCUCUACUACGACCAGUAUGUACAUACACGUUCGCGACCAGAAUGACAACACUACAUAUGCUUCGACCAGGUGGGUCCCGACUGUUAGGCACUUCCUUACCUGUGAAGAUGUAGCUGGUGGGUCCCAGUAGUCAGGGGGCGAAUCGUUUUUUUUUGCCCGGACUCACUUCCUUGCAUGCGAAGAUGUAGCUGGUGGGUCCUAGUAGUCAGGGGGCGAAUCUUUUUUUUUUGCCCGGAUGCACUUCCUUGUGUGCGAAGAUGUAGCUGGUGGGUCCCAGCAAUCAGGGGAAACGUUUUUUUCGUGAAAUAUGGUGGCCUGUUCGGUGGGUCCCCGCUGUUAGGUGGAGGAAUAAUUAUUUUGCGCUUGAUAAGGAGGCACUUCCUUGCGGCUGUUGUGGACCCAGCUGUCAGCCUCUCCACGCAUAGUACUCUUCUAAUGGAAGUCGGUCGUUGACCACAUUGACCACGCCGCGUCGAGGGCACCACGGCGGUGGACGACGGUGAGGCCUAGGAAGGGGACGGCGCGGAGCCGGGGAAGACGCAGCAGUGGAUGCCCACGCGAAGAGGAGUACGAGGGUGAGGCUGUCGUCGCUAUAGAAUAACAGGGGGUGUGGGUGAGUAGAGCGAUGGCCUGGCCAGCGGUGGGAGUAGUAGGGGGCGGUGAGGCCUCCGCGGCAUCACAGCCGGCCACGGGAGGUAGGAGCAUGCGGCACGACCGGCGCUGCUUUGGGCGGCUGGAGCACGAAGACCAGAGGUUCAAGAAGCACUAUGGCCGUUGGAUGGACAUCGUACCAUCACUGGAGCUAGAGUCGUUCAUAUUGACUAAGUUGAUAAAGCCCUCCGUCCCCAUAAACUUAGUAGGCCCACAAGUCAGCCUCCCACUAAGGUGAGUCCCAGCUAGCAGGGCGAGUAUUCAUUUUUUUGUGCGUAGUAAGGAGGCAUGUCCGGUGGGUCCGAGCUGACAGUGGGGGGAACGUUUUUUCGCGGAAUACGGAGACCCUUCCGAUGGGUCCCAGAUAUCAGGUGGAGGAAUCAUUAUUUUGCGCGUAAUAAGGAGGCAUUUUCCUGUGUGGGCCCCUACUGUAAGCCUCUUCCGACGGUUGUUGUUUGUUGACCAUGUUGACCUCGCCGCGCCGAGAGCACAAACGCGGUGGACGAGGGCGGGGCCCAGGAAGAGAACCACCCGGAGCCGGCGAAGCCACUGCAGCAGAUGCCCACGCUGAGGGGAGAACGAGUGCUGACUGGUCGGCUGCGGGGUGAGGCUGACGUCGCCGGAAAAUAACAGGAUGUGUGGGUGGUUAGAGGGAUGGCCUGGCGGCAGCACUGCCAGCCAUGGGAGGAGGGAGCAGGUAGUCCCGCCGGCGCUGGUUUGGGCGGCUGGAGUAGGAAGAUCAGAGACUGAAGAAGCACGGCGGCCGUUGGAUGGACAUCCAACAGUCACUGUUGUGUGUUGACUAAGUUGACAAAGCCUUGCGUACGCGUCAAAAAAAAUUAGGACAGCGUCAUUGUCAACCUAGUAGGCCUAGAAGUCAGCCUCCAAAUCUGUGGAAAACAGCAUACAGCCCAUUAGCCAUUAUUUUCAAUAAUUUACAGCCCAUUUGCUAAUUCUUAAGGAUAUUUGAAGCUCAUAUUCUUUUUAUUAGCAUUACAGACCAUAUAUUCUGGGCAGUGCUAAAAAAUUCAACGAAAUUUUGCAUAUUUCGGUGGGGUCCGAACUCUUUUAAUCACGAAAUUUCGAGUCACGUUAAAAAUAGUUUUCAAAAAAUUAUAUCCAAAUAAAAUUCAAAAAACAAUUCUCCGCAAAAAGAAUGAAUGAAAUUUAGAAUCUUAGCUAGCAAGAUGCUGGUUCGUUGCACGGAACAUGAAGAUGCAUUUGUAUGAGUAGUUUAUCUUGUGGGGUGGAAAGAUGAUAUUUUAAUGUAAUUGCCAGUUGGCUUUGGUUUUUAUAAGAGUAGAGAGUAGAGAAAUCCUGGAAAAAAAUGAUAUUUUAAUGCAAUUGCCGGUUGGCUUUGGUUUAAAAAUUUACAGCCCAUUUCUUACAACGUAUAGCCCGUUUUCUGGGGAAGCCCAUUUCUUAUCCCUACUCGUCUUGAAAGAUUUGCAGCCCAGCAGGGCUGAGAAAAGCAAGUAGGCCUCGGUUUUGGUCUCCAAAAAAAAGAACUGGGCUAGCCAAUUUCAAAAAGAAAAAAAAUAUCAACUGGGCUAGUCAUGUGCUUAAUAAAAGCGUAAGCAUGGGCUAGACGUGCCACUGCCCCCGCAUAGCGCGCAGUUGAGCUCCCAUCUCUGAAACUGAAAAACAACUGGGCGAGCUGCUGGGUCCCUGGUGUUAUCCACUCGUUGUGUAAUUUUCUCGUUUAUUGACUACAUUGACAAUGGCGUGGAACCUAGUUGUCAAACAAUUAGGAGGAAGUAUUGUUUUGGCUUGUAAUAACGCGGCAUCUGCUUGCGAAAUGCAAUGACCUUGGUGGGUCCCUACUGUCAGCCUCUCCACGUACAGUCAUCUCCUGAUUCCUCUUGGUUGUUGACCAUGUUGACAACACCAGACGGUGGCGAGCACAGCGAGCUAACCAAGGCGGAGAAUGACGGCAAGGCCUCGGACGGGAACGAAUAGCAGCCAUAAAAGAUGCGGCAGUGUAGUGGCAGGUCUAGGGGAGUACGAGGGCAACAACAUGCAAGUCAACCAUACAAAUGGUACAAAAAGCCCAAGGAUUAAUUGUUCAUCAAAUUUUUAGACAAAACCCAGAUUGAACAUGACAGUAACAUCUAACCCAACCACUCUUUUUUGCAGUCACAAACAAAUGGAUCGGUCUGAUCCAUAAAAUCAACAUCCUGUGCAAAAAAAAUUAUUUUAGGAUGUCUACAACUUGUUGUAAAUAGAAGCCGAGCACGUUUAGAAGCCCAUUUGUCCACCUAAAACUUCUUUUUUUGCUGUUCAACAUGUUCAUCCGUGAGAAAUCUCUUGCUGUAAAAAUUAAGCCUCAUGGACAAUAGUAACCUCGCAUUCAACAGGAAGAAUGUGACAAAGCUUCUGUUUGCCUGGUUGGAUGCAUAUCGUCCCAUCGUUAUUGUCCUCAAACGAAUGUCAUGAGAACUGAGAAAAUCCUUGUGCUUAUUACACCAACGAUUGGUUAUAUGUUUUUUUCCAUGUGGUUCUGCCUAAGUAGACAUGAAGAUUGAAAACAGUUAAGGUCUGAAAAAAGAGUAUGUCGAAAGAACGACAACUGAACAGUUAAUUCUAAUACAAUAUAUACGGGCUUUCAAUGUGCAUGAAAUCAUCACCUCUAUGUAUAAAUUCCCCAGAGAUCGAAAGCAUCGCCGCAAGCCAAUAAUUAUGUCCAAAUCAAAACUAUACAUUCUGAUAUAUAUGAUCUUGACAGAAUCUAGCAGCAUUGAUAGGCUAUCAAUGGACGAACUCUUCAUUGAGCAUAUAACAUAAUAUUAGUACCCAAAGUGUACCCCGGGAUGAUAUGAAACUUAUGCGCAUAAAUGAAAAAUGCAGCAUAUGAUUGAAAAUGUGUAGAUGAUAAUAUAUGGUACCUGAAAAGGUGAGGAGCCAAACACCAACUCCUUGUGAUUAUUAAACGGGUCACGAAUUACACCCAAGGUCUCCAGUUUGGGCGCAAAGACGACAGUUAUUUCUGAAGGUGUAUAACAAUUAUGAAGGAGCAACCUUUCAAGUGAAGGGGCAUCUUCGAUGAUGAGUUGUUGUCCUUCAAAACAAAUUCCAAUGCUUUUAAGGUGAGGCGACUUUAUUUGGAGACAACUGAUACCGAUUUCAAUUCCCAAAACAAUCAGCAAGCGCUUCAGGCAGGGCAACUAGAGUGGAGGAUGUUGUGCAGUGAGGCCUCCGACAGAUAAACCACCACAAGCGAGAGUUUUUUUAGCAGUGGGAGUCGAAGCAUUUGUACCAGAUCAUAUGGUAGAUGGCACCGGGCGAAGGUGGCGGUGUGGAGAGAGGAGGAAAACCGUGAGAUGGACAACGGUGGUGUGGACACAAAUUCUUGGUAUGUUCGUGGUAUGAAACUUUCGUAGUAAUGGUAGAACUCAAACUGCUGGAGCUUUCCGAAUUCAGGGGAUGUCAGCCAAGCGUCCACCUUGCCGGGUAUGGAUAGCAGGUAGCUUGUGGGGAUGCAGAGGCAUUGAACGGGGCCCUGCUGGUGAGAAGAGAUGAUGGCUCUGAUGAGAUCAAAUUCACGAAGGAUAGAUAUCUGACGACAGUCAAGAUUGAGGGGCGCGGAGCGCCAUAGAGGGCGCCACCGAGUUGAGAGGACUUGUGUGCGGCAGCAAUCCUUGGUGGGGAGAAGCGAGAUGAUCUCCUCAAGGAUGACGUCCGGGAGAUUGCUGAUGCGGUCCACCAGAGAUUCUACCGGUUCCUCAGAUCCGGGUGGGGGGGCUCGCCGCUUCUCCCUGCGCUACCGGGUGUGGGAUCUACAACCGGCGUCACCACUAGUGGGAGCCUCAUCUUCUUGGCGCUGGGGCUAGCCGACUCCAUUUUCCUUGUGGGUGUCGCACCGAGCUCACGGGUUUGAGCAGAGUAGCCAGAGACGAGCCUAGUGGCAGUGCGAGUGGGGAAGAAGGAGGGCUGGGGAUUUCUGUAGGAGUGGAAGAAGAGGAGCAGGCGUAUUCUGUAUGAGUGAGGAAGAAGGUGAGCGGGUUUUUCUGGACGAGUGAGGAAGAUUGGGGAGCGGGGGGAAUUGGGUGGGGAGACGGAAGCGGCAGAGCGAGCUGUUCGUGUUUAUAAGGCACGCUGCACUAACUACUCGCUUUUUCCCAAGAACCGCUCUCUUCUUUUGCGUUGCUACAUGACUGGCCAUGCAUGCAGGAUGCAUGUGCCCGCCGGCCACUGCAUGCGCCUAGUUUGUUACGAGGCCUAUUUAAUAGGGUGGUUAUGGAGUAAAUUAAGGAGAUUUAUUUUCUCUGUGUGCAUCCACCAAAUUAGAGGAUGCGGUACUGGAUGCAGACACUCACAUUAAACUAACAUUCAGAAGAACAAAAGUUCAGCAUGUCUAUGCAUCUCAAUAAUUCACCAUACUAUAACCAAUAUACAAAACUGUGAGAAGGUGUGGAAAUAAAGAAAAUCAGUCGAUGCUUCUCUGAGCAAAGGGCCUCCCUACGCACGCAUUAAUUUCCUGGGCAUGCUUGUUUCUUCUCAAUGUUGCGAGCACUUUGAGCAUGUUGGCAACUCCACAGCUAUCUAGCUGCCUCAUCUUGCAAUUGAUGCUGACACAUUUGCAGCAAACACAUGAGGCAAUAGAGAUGACUCAACAUGGGUCCAUAUUGUGCAGUUCCCCUAAUAUCCUAUUCCUUGUCCUGAAUCUGAAAAGAUAGGAAAAUAGUAGCUAUACUUAAACGGUGUUGCAAAACAGUAGCACAUAUCAAUAGCUCGGCAUGACAAAACACGAUCAUCUGGAUGAAGGGGACACUGACCUGCCUGAGGAAGAUUACAUAUAAUUUCAUAAGUCCUUGGUUGAUUUCCACCUUCGGCUGCACUGCUUGUUUGCUCCUCUAGACAUGACAGGAUCGUUCCGCACUGCAUCAGCAAGUCAACGUACGAAUAAGCUAAUUUCAUCUUGCGGUGGUCAUUGUACCUAGUUAUGAAUGUAGGAAUACCUGGAGCACCAUGAGGUUAGCUGACAGCAGGUAGAUGCAGCCAUAUAAAUUUUGUGCGGUGCUACCAAAAUUGAGGUUUGUAUCCCUUCCCGUUAUGAGAAUUCUUCUUGAAGUUGGUAGAAUGUGACGGCUUGUUCUUUGCAUCAAACGUGCCUUUCCCCUGAGAUUUGUUCUUGUUGUUUUGGGGCUGGUUGGGCUAGAAGUUCUUCUCAUGUACCAUGUGGGCACUAGAAGCUCCCUCGGCGACCCGAGCACGUGUGUCUUUUGCUCUCGCCUUCUCCUCAAAAUCAAGAGUGCUAAUGAGAUCCAAAAUAGAAAACUCAUGUCUCUUGUUUUUCAGAGAAGUAGCAAAAUUGUUCCACGAAGGUGGAAGCUUGGCAAUGAUGGUCCCAUAAAGAAAUUUGUCUGGCAACACACACUUAAAGUACUCAAGUUCCUUAGAGAGUGACUGUAUCUCAUGAGUCUGCUGAACAACAAAGCGCUCAUCAGUCAUCUUGUAGUCACAGAAUUGCUCCAUGACGUACAACUCGUUGCUAGCGCCCGAGGGCCCAAACGUGGCUUCGAGCGCAGCCCACAUGUCUUUGCCGCUGUCAAACAACAUAUACGAACCCACAAUGGAAUCGUCAAGAAAACUCAGCAGGGCGGCUUUGAAGAGGGUAUCCAUGUUCUGAAAAGCUUCCUGUGGUGUAGGAUUAAGAUCGCCCUCAGGCUUACCAUUAGUGGCGUCAUAGCAGCACAUGAUCUGAAACCAAUAUACUCCUCUUGUGCGCCACCUUUUAUAUUGCACCCCCUUAAAAGUAGGCGGCUUCAAAAGUGCAGCAAAACAACUCGGAGUAAAUUGUCUGUGAUCAGGUUUUUGGAUUGGAUUGUUGAAUAUAUGAGCAAUUUAGUAUGAGAUUUAAUCCAAAUCAGCAGUAAAUAGAUCAUGACGACAAUUGCAAACAUCAAAGUAAUGAUGCAGACUAAACCAGGAGGACAGAAUCACAUACUGUAUAGCGGGAGAAAAACCGAUGUGGUUGAUGUUGUCACUCAUGUCGUUGAUGAAGAGGUUACCGAGGUCGGGGAAGAAGGCUGUCGUUGAGGUAGUCGUCGCUGGCAGCAGUCAAAGGAGUGUGCUCCCCAAAAACCAGAUUGCCCCUCUCCCGUACAGGAUCACGAAAGGCGGGGUUCGGAGGACUGCUAUCCCUUCUCACGGUGCACGCCGGAAGGAGGGCUGGAGAAGAAUUGCGUGGCGGCGCUAAGAUCUGGAACAGUGCGAAACCAUAUGAUAUAGCGGCGGCUAGGGUAGAGCAUGUCAGGUCGCAGUAUAAUAGUAGGCCUUUGGCCCCCAAACCCCACGUCCAUGUCAAUAAUAGCUCAAAAAAAGUCAAUAAUAGCCCCACCAAGGUUUGUCUAAAAAAAUGGAGUAAUUAAGGCGUCCGUUAGUCCCUUUAGUAUAAAUACAAUAUCAUUAAUAAUGGCCCCACCUUUUGUCUCACAAAGUAGAGUAUGUUGGAGUACAACCGGCUACACGUUUACAAUCCGCUUCUCUUCUCUCUCCUCUUCUCUCUCCUUCAAUUAAGAACAAAUACUAUAUUUAAAUCCUUAUAGCCUGCUUAUGUCAUCUAAUUAUAGUAGUACUUGCUCUAAAAGUUACUACCACUGUGUAGUCGAAAAUGCCGGCGUGCAGCGGGCGGUGCCCUCGGUCGGCACGCCGCUUCAACGGUGGAAGCAGUGAGAGGUCGCGUCGCCCUGACUUGCCAUCAAUGUGGAGCGGCCAGCUCAGCUGGCGCCGAGCAGGAAGCACGCGCGAGAGGGGGAGGGGUUUUUGUUGGGCCAAGAAGGUGAGAAGCCAACUUGGGAUCGGUCCGGACGGGGAAAUAUCAUGUGCUCCCAUACUAUGCCAUAUGACACUAGUGUAUGUUACUACUCCCUCCUUUCCGGUUUAUAGAGAUGUUUAGAGUAACAUAGUAAUAUGUUACAGUACAAGUUACUCCCCACUAUGACCAGCCUUGGCCUCCCCCAGUGCUCCACCAUGUAUAGCUACUAAACCUGCCACGUAGGCAUAAAAUAUGAUGUGGCACCAAUAAACUAAGCACAUAUGCAUUGAAACCUUGAGUUACUAAGCCAUUUAAUGCACUUAGCACCUCAUCUAAAGAGCAUUAGUAGUAUAGCCAGUUGCUGGCUAUAAGCCUAUAGCCCAUCUUAUAGUCAACAUGUACUACAAAGUGCCUAGGAGCAUGUGCUAGAGCUGGCUCUUCACGAAGAGCCCGCUUACCUUCUCUCUCCUCUUCUCUUUCCUCCAACUAAGCAGAAAUAUACUACUAUUUAUUCCUUAUAGCCCGCUGACUCAGCUCUAUUGUACUUGCUCUAACCACAUCUAAGCACUUGCUAGCACCCCCUUGACCGUGGACCUUGACGGUGUACGUCACCUUGUGUCUCAUAAUUUUCCUCGUCAUCAUCUGAGUCCUAGAAGAUCUCACCCACAUCAUCAUUAGCAUGCAGCCGCGUUGAUAGACAACAUGCGCAGAAGGAGUAGAGGCGACUGGGGACGCACCACCACCACGUCAUGGGCACUCCGUAUGUGCUCGUGUGCGUGCAGCGUGCGUGUUUUUCCAUCGGUGCUAGCUCUAAGGCCGAGGCUGCGGUCGUCUUCGUCUCCGACUAGUAGUUGAGCAGUGACGGCAAAGAGGUGCUGCAAGAGAUGCGUAUGCGCCGUUGCGUGCGAGCUUCUCCAUAGCAUGACGAACCGGACGUCGCCGCGGAUGGCGCACGCCUCCAUGCAUCCGAGUGUGUGCGCAUGCAUGUGUUAUUCACGUGCAUUCUGCGGCCGAGCGUGUGUGCAUGCACGUCUUGUGUACGUGCGGUGUGUGCUCCAUGAUGUGCGCGUAUGUGCAUGAGUUGGAUCGGAUGGAGUUAGUGCGUUCGCUUGUGUACAUAUUUUAGAGUGUAGAUUCACUCAUUUUGUUUCGUAUGUAGUCCCUUAUUGAAAUAUCUAAAACGACUUAUAUUUGGGAACAGAGGGAGUAUAAAACAUCUUCAACUUAGCAUCCUGAUGUACCGUUUCUAGUGGUUAGCGAAAAGUUCAUGUUCUUUUAGUUGUUUAUAGGUGGGCAUGCGGCAAAAAACAGGGGAAAACGCACAAGGUUCCUUGCAGACGCUCCACCGCGAGGUUCCUUGCUCCUCCUCGGUCGUCGGGAAUCUAUGCUCUUCAACUCUUUUCUUUUACGUGUGCUUUGUUCAUCCUUUUCCCAACACGCGAGACAUCUAGCAUCAAGGUGCACGUGUCAUGCAAGAAAAUGGAGAUAAUUAGAUAAGAAGUGCGUAAGUGAGUNNNNNNNNNNNNNNNNNNNNNNNNNNNNNNNNNNNNNNNNNNNNNNNNNNNNNNNNNNNNNNNNNNNNNNNNNNNNNNNNNNNNNNNNNNNNNNNNNNNNNNNNNNNNNNNNNNNNNNNNNNNNNNNNNNNNNNNNNNNNNNNNNNNNNNNNNNNNNNNNNNNNNNNNNNNNNNNNNNNNNNNNNNNNNNNNNNNNNNNNNNNNNNNNNNNNNNNNNNNNNNNNNNNNNNNNNNNNNNNNNNNNNNNNNNNNNNNNNNNNNNNNNNNNNNNNNNNNNNNNNNNNNNNNNNNNNNNNNNNNNNNNNNNNNNNNNNNNNNNNNNNNNNNNNNNNNNNNNNNNNNNNNNNNNNNNNNNNNNNNNNNNNNNNNNNNNNNNNNNNNNNNNNNNNNNNNNNNNNNNCACUUCGAUGGCACCUACACAAUAUUUUUUCUCCUCGAUGGCACAUGAAUGGCAUGUGAAUAGUGCACGUACUCAACAACGGAGCACGGGAUGGUAGCAAUGACAUGGUCAGCCCUUUUUUGGAGAGAGUACGUGCUACUAGUAAAUAACUUUGAUGUGUCCCGUCAACUCGCAGAACGACGAGAAGCUUGAUUACGCCUUCUCCCUCGCCAACGCGUGCGUGGUGGCUCGCAGCACGAGGAGAAACUUUUGCUUACAAGCGGUGGACGUGCAGCAGUUCAUUUGAUGUCAGAUUGCCAGAAGCACUACUAUAGAACCAUCGACUUCCGGAAGAGGCGAAGAGCCAAGCGCAAGGUCACCUACUAACCUUAGGCUAGGCGUAGUGGGAGUAACAUAAGUAGAGGUACCUCCUUUUUUAUUCUAGAAACAACCACACGCGAAUAUCAAGGUGCUGGUUACGUAGAACAAAUUUCCUGCAGUCUGUGCUCAGCACUCCUCUAUCUCUCUUCUCAGCCAGCCAGCGGACGCGCGGAGCCCAUCGUCUGUUUGCUCACAUGUGGCCCCACAUGUCAGUGAAAACGCAAGAGGACCCACUGAACCUGCACAUCUUUCACCUCGAUGUGCUGGUGAUGAAAAACAAAUCCAAGAAAGAUCUUCGGUGGCCCCUUUUGGAGUUACUCAAGAGUAGUAAGAUUCUAUUUAUAGUUUAACUCAAGAUGCACAUCUCGUGGCUUCAACUUAUCAACUACCACUCUAUUUUCUUUCAUGACACGACCUGGAUGCUGGAUGUCCCACGUGUCGGCAAAAGGAGGAAGAACCCAACCAAAUCUUCGAUUGUGCUCUCGGAUUAGACUAGCUGUGCUAACUUAAAAAAAUCAUUGUGUACUCCCUCCGUUCCAAAAUACUUGACUUCCAUUUGUCCAAAAAUGGAUGUGCCUAUAUACUAAAACAUGUCUAGAUACAUAUAUAUUUUGACAAAUACUAUCUCUGUCCGGGUUUAUUGAUCCCCAUUAUAUUUUGUGCCAAAUUUUGACCAUAGAUUAAACUAACAAAAUGUUUACGCAUGUCACCAAACAUUAUAUUUUUGAAAACUAUGUUCAAAUACGAAUCCAAUGAGAUAAUUUUUCUUGACAUGCAUUAACAUGUUGUUAGUUAAAUCUUUAGUAAAAAUUUGACACAAACUACAAAGGGGACCUAUAAACCAGGACGGAGGUAGUAGAAUGGAGGGAGUAGAAUGGAUGCAAGUUUUUGUAUUGGGAAGAAGAGUACAUCCAUAUAUUGAUAGAGCGUUGGAGUUGGCCUUACAAGUGGGACCGUAGUUGAGGAAAGCGACUAUCGGCAAACUCCCACCUCGCCCGCGGCGCGAUGGCUGAGUUAGAGAAACGAUGAGGUUGAAGAGAUUACUCUAGCACAGACUCCAAGAAAUAUGGUGUCAGAUGGAAGUCGUGCUGGUGGCGUGUGUCGUACUCCUAGACAUGAAUGCUUGUUCUGGCCCAUGCCACCCUACUACUCCUACUACUUACUAUAUAUACUACUAGUAUCGAGGAUUCGAGGUGCUGGUUACGUAGUAUAAUAUGGCUAUAGUAAAAACACCCGCAUGAUGCGCAAAGCAUGUGAAGCUAGUACAAAUAGUGUACUACUAUUGUUGAUGAUUGGCCUCAUCCGAUAACCUAUUGCAAUGCACAUACAAUUAUGUAUUCGGAAAAUAUAUUUUUUCCUCGUCGCACCACUCACUCACAGAAGCAACUCGAAAGCCAUUCAUAAAUUUAGUAAGUUUAUCACAGGCAUAUCAUUUAUUACAUACAAUAGGUCAUCAACCCACAUCGACAACGAGGAUACAUUAUAAAUACUAAAGUUUUCACCACACAACAAAUAACAAGAAAUGAAAUGAACUUCAACUCAACCAUUCCUCGGCGUUGGAAAUGCUUGCUUUGAACCACAAGUGAUUCUCUGGGACGGGGUAUCUAUUGUCGAUCUCGAGACCAAUGCAGGACUGAUUAUCCAGGCUGAAGCGGCCUACUAUAUCAGUACCAGGGUAUGGAACCACGCUAAUGUCCGAGGUAUAGACACAUUUGCUUCUCACAAAUGGUGCUAGUAACAUUGUGUCAACAGCAGUUGGAUCGCCUUUCACCAUCAUCGGAUAGUUUUGUCCAAGGAAGAGCAAGUUUUCUCCAAGACUAUCAAUUCUGUACCAGGGAGAAGGUGUUGGUGCUAGCACGCUAGUAUCCAUCCCGAAUACCAUGCAACGGGUGUCGGAAUAGGUCCGGAGAGUGCGACCAUGGGAGACUACACCUGCUUCCUUAGCAGUAACAUCAUCAGUGGGCUGUAUACACACGAGAAGAGGUGAUCCAUGGGAAUUAGUUGCCAGGCGCCAACAAGUAUAUGGGCGCCGCUCGUCCUCAUGCUCGUGAUCAUCACCAUCGUCAUGUCCCCCUUGGUUAUAAAAAAUUUCAAGUAUAGGUGGUGGAAUUUUCACAGGACCUUGGAAACACAGGAAGAAGGUUAAUUAGUAAAGGGAAACUUGCUAACCCGCAUGCAUGUGGAUGAAACAAUUAUAAUUACGGUGGAAGACAAACGUACCGAAAUCAUAACGAUUCCAUGCAAAAAUGGUGCCACGAGUGGUGGCAGCAAACACAAGGCCCUCGUAUUCAAUUGCAUCACAAUACUCAUCCGUGUACAGAAACUGAUUUUUGAGCAAUGUCCAUCGAGUCAAACCAGCAACGACGGCAACAAGCUUGUCGAAGAUAGCAACAACUUCAUAGUUGUUGUAAUUCCAAGAGCGGGUGGGAACUCGAGAAAUUGCUAUCUUUCGUAGAAGACAGUCACCAUGAUUGUAUUUGAACGUGCGUACAAUACCGGUGUGCUCAACCUCUGGGCAGUCUGCUGAGAUUUUUGGAAGUGGAACCCGGUCACGAGUGUACACAUUCACAAGUUCCCACUCGCAGUUGCACCCAAUGUAAACAACCCAAUCUCCAUUUGCGCCUGCCUAGGCCUUGCCCUCAAGCGAUGGCAUCUUAACAUCAUACAUAUCAUUAUCAAGUGGCAUAAACUUGCACAGGGCGAGGCCUCCGUCGUGACGGCGCCGGUCAUCAGGGUCACGGCGAAGAAGAUAGGGGAGAUCAAACCGUUCCUUGACUCUUGGGUUCCUUGUAAUGAUGUUAUCAGUUGAGUCAAGAAUGGGCUUGAACAAACCUGCCAUGCUAGCCGAGGUGAUGACGUCGCACCGAUCAAUGAGUUCCUCCACCACAUCAUCUUUCAGAUCAGGGCAAGAAUAACGGGGUUGUUUCCGUCCUUUUCCCUCCAUGGAGAAGAUGAUUGAACAAUGGCAGAAGAAAGCAUGAAGGGCUGAAGGAAAAUGGAGGAGGGAGAGGAAGAGCGUGCGAUAGCAGUUCCAAAUCGAGAGGGAAAGGCGAAGCGUCGGUGGACGGUUGCCAGUUUGCCAUGGUUCAUGAAGGGGCGCCCUAGCCUACAUGUCGGUUCAGAAAUACUCCUACUACUCGUCGUCGUCUCACUGAUAUGUUGGAACGGGACCACAUGUCAACGAAACAUGGUGUGUAAUUUCUCGUGCAAAAUGCGAUCUGGCCACGUUGGCCCGAGGUGCCGCAUUAGUUUUUGUUUUUGAAAGUUUGCCGCAUUAGUUAUCGACCUUUAUUUUUUUUAACAUGCAAUCUGAAUGGAUAGCUCCUGUGGUCAUCACACGUGAGCGGAUAUAGUGAUGGUUGAUUCGCCCGAGCAACUUUACUGUGGGAAUAUGGGAGUACCAGCGGAUUCAAGGAACAGAGAAAUGAUGGUUGCUUCGUCCGAGCAACUUACUGUGGCGAAGGUGGGGCUCUGUGAUUUGACUGCUCACUAGUCAUUACUACUGCAUCGCAAUGACCGGGGUGAAUCUUUCCCUGAAGUUGUGUUGUGCACUCAAUAUUGCUGCAUGGCAGGUGGAGCCGGAUGAAGGAUGUCCAACAUGUCGGCGAAACAAAGUUGAAUUGUUUCUGGCAUUGCUAUCAAUCCUUGAGGAUUUGUUUAUAUGUAUGCAUAAUUUUGAUGAACUUGUACUGUGAUGCUAUGAAGGUUUCAACUCUGGUUCCCGCAGGAAAAAAUGGUUUCAACUUAGGAUUCAUGUGUCUUGCCUCGAGAUUAUCUCGUUACAACAUUCCAUCAAAUACAAAUGAAACUACCAUGGCUAAUGCAUCUCAAUGGUUCGCAGAUCAGCGCCAAUAUUCACAUCACAACUGAAAACAAAGUUGUGAGAAGGUGUACAAAUAAAGAAAAAAAAUUGAUCAAUGAUGUUCAUAGGCAUGGCUCCAUUUCCUUGGCACAGUGUUCAAUGCUUGGCAGCUAGUUUCACCCAGAUCUGUAGCCAAAAAAGAGGUGUAUGAAGGACACCACAAUCCGAUCAUUUUGUGCAGCUCCACUAAAAUCAGGCGGACCAUUCCUGUUUGCAAAGAUAUACAGUCAGUGUGAUUACAAUAAUAGUGGAACUAGAUGAUGAAACAUAACACACAUAAAUAGAAGCCGAUCACCUCUACGAUCUCUCUUUAGGACUAACUUCUUGUCAGAGAAGAUUAGGCACGGAGUUGGAUGAGGAGGAUAGCAAAACCAAUCUCCCUUUCCGCAGUCCCACAGAAAUGUAAAAACGUUGCCCGUGUGACAUUUUGGCGGAACUGCACAAAACACUCUUCAGAAAAGUGAUUUGUGCAGUUCACCAAAAGGUCGCAAUAGCAACAAGGUGAAAAUGGAUAGCCCUGUUUGCAAAAGGAGGUUGAAAGGAAACAAUUACUGCCCAAUAACACAAGUUGAAGACACAUACGCCGACAAAAAAGAAGCAUGUUCCAUGUAAAAAGGGAAAGAUAGCACAUGGUGGUUUAUCAAAAAUGGUUUGAGGACGAGAUUGCAAGAUGGAAAGUACACCGGCUGAGAUACGAUUUAAGCAAACAACUAAAGAAGAUCCACAAGCAGCAACGUGGGAAGAUGGGCAGUGGAGCAAGGCCGGAGGAAGCUGUACCUGAGGGUCGUCGGGAUGUUACUAGGAGGGCGCCGGCGGCCGGGAUCUGCCCAUACUGCGGCAGCGAGCAAGUGGCGAAGGCCCUACCGCGCCGGAGCUUGGUCAGAGAGAACAGCAGGUACUGCAGAUCGGGACGAGCUAACUCAACACCGUCGAACGGAGAGACGAUGCACAUCCUUCCUUUUCGUCGGCGGACAGGAUGCGGCCGGAUCACUGACCAACGCUGAGAGAGAGAGGCCACGGCGGCCUUGUGUGAGAUUGUGUGACGAGAUUCACGAGAGACAAACCCAUUUUUCCAUUUCCCCCACGGCAAUCAUUUUAUAUUCUAGGCGUGGUACCCGACCCUCAUUCGAGUAAACAAACGCUACACACGUCAAAUUAUCACGUGGGCUGCCUUUUCGUACAGAAACGAACUCCACAGUGUACCCGCGCGGGUGUGGCCGGGAACGAGACGUGAGUACGUGUGUCCUGUGUGCACUUCUUCUUUAGGUGCAGGUACGUACGUGGGUGGGUGUGAGAGAGAUGGUUUGUGCGAAACAGAGGCAAUUUGUUGAUGAUAUCUCAAUCAGAAAAACGUAACAUAUGCAAUGUGUGUGAAACGAAGUCAUGGACGUGAGAUAUCGAUAGAAUUUAAAACAGGGAUGAAGUGUGUGGCUGCGCGAUCGAUAAAGAGUGCCAUCGAAUUUGUGUUUGCCCACGUCAAAGAUACAGGGCGGCUGGCCUACUGGAAUUUGAGAGGGCAGAUGUGCAGUUCUUCUCUGUGGCAUGGAUACCUACCUAGAACGUUCGACUAUCGGUGUGUGUGUGUGGGGGGGUAGAGACUGGUCGACUAGUAUAUGUCCGGGGAAGGAGAGAGACCUAGCUAUGUACUGAGGGAGAUCGAUCAACAUCCAUGGAUAUGUGUAGCAGAGGAAUAAGGUUGGGAAAAAGACAAAGGUAGAGCGUCGGAGGGUUGGUGGUGGAGUGGCGUCUCACAAAUGGUGGGAGAGGCCUGCUAGACAAACGGAGGGUAUGAGUGCAAUAUCAAUAAGAGAGGGCGGGGGAUGUCUGUCUGUCUAUGCACGUGUGUGUGAGAGACGGGUCGGGAGGUAUUCAAGGAUGAUGAGGGGAGAAGAUAUGGUUGUGGUAAGCAUGCGUAACUACGUAGGAAGAUCAACCGUCGUGUGUCCGAGAAAAGGAGAGACAUAACUAGCGAGGUAAGUGUAAUGCCCCGGAUCCGAUGCGCCAGGUGUCCGCCAGUUAUUCGCCAUCCUUGCCAUGUCAUGUGCUUGCGUGUUGCAUAUUGCCAUGUCAUCAUGUGCAUUUCUUUUUGCAUACGUGUUCGUCUCAUGCACCCGAGCAUUUUCCCCGUUGUCCGUUUUGCAAUCCGGCACUCCUAUGUCCCCCGGCGUCCCCCUUUUGCCUCUUUUCAUGUGCGGGUGUUAAACAUUCUCGGAAUCGAUCGAGGUUUGCCUAGCGGCCUUGGUACACCACCGGUAGACCGCCUGUCAAGUUUCAUUCCAUUUGGAGGUCGUUUGAUAAUCCAACGAUCAACCGCGUAGCCCGAAGGGCCUCGUGUGUGUUGCAGCCCAACACCCCUCCAAAGUGGCCCAAACCCCUCCUAACCCCCUCCAUGCUCUCCGUCGUUCGAUCACGAUCGUGUGAGCGAAAAUUGUGCCUCAUUUGGACAAUCCUAGCUCCCUCUAUCUAUAAAUAUGCCUCUCCCCCCGAAAAUCCCGGUUCAAACCCUAGCAGUCUUCCUCCUCGCGCCACCGGACAUGUCCAUCCACGCCGGACAUGUCCGCCGGACACCUCGCUCCGGCCAAUCCAGCGCUGCCACGUCUCCCCGCCGCCGCUCCUGGCCAGUGGCGUCGCGCCACGUCGCCCUCAGCCCGUGCCUCCCUCUCUCUCUUCCGCACCCGCCACCGCCGGCCCGCCAGGCCCGCGCGGGGCCCUCCCGGCCCGCGUUCCCCGCCGCCCGCGCACGAGGCCCCCGNNNNNNNNNNNNNNNNNNNNNNNNNNNNNNNNNNNNNNNNNNNNNNNNNNNNNNNNNNNNNNNNNNNNNNNNNNNNNNNNNNNNNNNNNNNNNNNNNNNNNNNNNNNNNNNNNNNNNNNNNNNNNNNNNNNNNNNNNNNNNNNNNNNNNNNNNNNNNNNNNNNNNNNNNNNNNNNNNNNNNNNNNNNNNNNNNNNNNNNNNNNNNNNNNNNNNNNNNNNNNNNNNNNNNNNNNNNNNNNNNNNNNNNNNNNNNNNNNNNNNNNNNNNNNNNNNNNNNNNNNNNNNNNNNNNNNNNNNNNNNNNNNNNNNNNNNNNNNNNNNNNNNNNNNNNNNNNNNNNNNNNNNNNNNNNNNNNNNCGGCCGGCGACUUUGCCGCUCCGCCUCCGCAGCUCCCCGCCGGCGCCGUCCUCGCCGCGGCCCCGCGCGCCGGCCGGAGUUCGCCACCCCUCAUCCCCGCGCCUCCUCUCCUUCGCCCCUGGCCAGAUCCGGCCACGGGAGGGCCGGAUCCAGCCGUCCCCUCCUCCGGCGAGCUUCCCCGACCUCGCCGGCCGCCUCUCCUCCAACUCCGGUGAAGUUCCGGCCAGAUCCGCCGCCGCAUCGAUAUCCGUGCAGAUCGAAGGUUGACCCCAAUAUUUCACUGUCCCGAAAUUGUUGCAUAUUUUGGUGCCUUAUUCAUCAUGCCAUAUCUCUGCAUCCAUAGCUCCAUUUCAUGCAUAUGAUAUAUCAAAAUGUUCGUCAUGAGAUACUCUACAUUUCAUUCCAUUGUGCCAUGUUUGUUUGAGUCCAUCUUGAUGCCAUUAUCAUCAUUGCAAGAGUGCUAUAUGAUGUUAUCUGUUGUCUGUUAACAGAACUUGAUGAUUUGUCAUUUUUGUUGCAUUUUGUGUGUGCCUCCUAUGAACUUGAGCCCUACAUGUGUUUUGAAGUAUGUCAUGCCAUCUUUUUAGUGGUGCUAUCCAUGUAUUUUUGUGAGUCUUGUACUGAGUGCUUCGAGCUCGUGAAGUAGGGUACUUGAUGUUGCUGUUUUGCUAGGCUGAAUCUACUAUAUCAUGAUGCUAUUUAAACCUGCCGCUACAAGUCAUUCUAUGUUUAAUUUGGAGAUGUUCACUAAGGAUGAUUUGUUAUACAUGUCAUGCUCUAUCCAUUCAUGCCCCUGGUUGCAUUUAUAGCCUGUUGUAGCUUGUUGUUAUCGUGCUCCAAAGUUGCUAAAUAAUGUUGAUGUCAGCCUGUUAACAUUAAGUGCAGUUUUUGCCAUGUGUCCAUGCACCCUAUGACCUUGCUCUUGGCAUGCUUAGCUUCACAAACAUGUGUUCUUGUUGUUGGUUGCCUUUCCAUGCCAUGUAUUGCUCUGUGGUGAGUGGUUCAAGCUCACCAACAUGCCUACUUAUUGUUGUUCCUGCCAUGUAUGAAUCUGUCACAUCAUUUGCUAUGUUUACAUGGGUGCCAUCAUAUUUUCUUUGCCCUUUUGGCUCAUGGUCAGUAAAGGACUUUUGUUCUAUGCAAUUAGUAGGUUCAUGCCAUGCCUUUGUUUGCCAUGAUAAGUUCCUGUAGCAUGUUUUUUGAUAGCUCUAAACAUUGCAACCUGUUGUUAUUUCUGCUAAGCCUGUAAACUGUUAUUAUUUGCAAUCUUGCCAUGUGUUUUUGAGCAUGUUCUAGUAGUUUCUGGAGAUAGCUCACUGUUCAUGUUUUGACAUGCUUUACAUGUACUUCAUGCCCAUGCCUCUUGUUCUUAUGUUGAGGUGCUGUAGCGUAUUGUUUUGAUGCUUGCUAGAUGCCUAGUUGUUGUUUUGGACAGCUUGUCCUUUAAACUUGUAUAGAGUGUAUGUGUUGAACCGUUGCUCCGUUUUGAGUGUGCUCUAUAUGAAACUUGCUUAGAAGUGCAUGUAGUUUCAUAUUAUCAUGUUGCAUCCUUGUUUUGAGGUGUUUUCUUUAUGUUUGUAUGCAUUUUGCAUCAAUGCCAUGUUUAACUUGUUUUGCUCAUAUCUUCUAGGCCGUAGCUCCGACUUCAAUGAACUUUAUAUGUAACUUGACUAGAAUCUCAUGUAGAUCAUCUUGGUGCAUCUUAACUUGCUGUUUAACAACUUGAAGAUAAGGUUUAUUCAGAUCUGGACCAAUUUCUAAAUUUGCAUAUGAGGACUUACCGGAAUUGUUAUAUGUUGUUUCCGGCCUCAUUUAAACUUGCCUUGAUAUGUUGUUCUUGUAUGCAUCAUCUCUUGCCAUGAGUAGCUUCAUGUAGCCUUGUCAUGCAUCAUACUUGGUUGAGCAUCAUGCCUUGUUCAUGUGUGGUGUGUUUACCGUGUUGUGCUCCUUCUCGAUAGUUCCUGUUUCAUUGCGAUCGUGAGGAUUCGUUUGACUACACUUGGUUCAUCUUCGUGGCUUCAUCUUCUUCAUGGACUCGUUCUUAUUCCUUGCGGGAUUUCAGGCAAGAUGACCGCUACCUUGGAUCUCACUACUAUCAUUGCUUUGCUAGUUGCUUCGUUCUAUCGCUUUGCUGCGCUACCUAUCAUUUGCUCGUCAAGCCCCCCAAAUUGCCAUGUCAGCCUCUAACCUUUUCACCCUUCCUAGCAAACCGUUGCUUGGCUAUGUUACCGCUUUGUUCAGCCCCUCUUAUAGCGUUGUUAGUUGCAGGUGAAGUUGAAGGUUGCUUCAUGGUGGACAGGAUUAUGGUUGGGAUAUCACAAUAUCUCUUAUUUUAAUUAAUGCAUCUAUAUAUUUGGUAAAGGGUGGAAGACUCGGCCUUAUGCCUGGUGUUUUGUUCCACUCUUGCCGCCCUAGUUUCUGUCAUACCGGUGUUAUGUUCCCAGAUUUUGCGUUCCUUACGCAGUUGGGUGAUUUAUGGGACCCCCUUAACAGUUUGCUUUGAAUAAAACUCCUCCAGCAAGGCCCAACCUUGCUUUUACCAUUUACCUCACCUAGCCCUUUUUCUCUUGGGUUUCCGGAGCCCGAGGGUCAUCUUUANNNNNNNNNNNNNNNNNNNNNNNNNNNNNNNNNNNNNNNNNNNNNNNNNNNNNNNNNNNNNNNNNNNNNNNNNNNNNNNNNNNNNNNNNNNNNNNNNNNNNNNNNNNNNNNNNNNNNNNNNNNNNNNNNNNNNNNNNNNNNNNNNNNNNNNNNNNNNNNNNNNNNNNNNNNNNNNNNNNNNNNNNNNNNNNNNNNNNNNNNNNNNNNNNNNNNNNNNNNNNNNNNNNNNNNNNNNNNNNNNNNNNNNNNNNNNNNNNNNNNNNAGGGGCAACUCUGGGAUGUCCUACCGGAAGUUUGGACAAUCCGGUGUGCCCUGGGAACGAGAUAUGUGCAGCUCCUAUCAGGAUUUGUCGGCACAUUUGAGCGGCUUUGCUGGUCUUGUUUUACCAUUGUCGAAAUGUCUUGUAAUCCGGGAUUCCGAGUCCGAUCGGGUCUUCCUGGGAGAAGGUAUAUCCUUCGUUGAUCGCGAGAGCUUAUCAUGGGCUAAGUUGGGACACCCCUGCAGGGUAUAAAAUUUCGAAAGCCGUGCCCAUGGUUAUGUGGCAGAUGGGAAUUUGUUAAUGUCCGGUUGUAGAUAACUUGACACCAGAUACGAAUUAAAACGCAUCAACCGCGUGUGUAGCCAUGAUGGUCUCUUCUCGGCGGAGUUCGGGAACUGAACACGGUUUCUGUGUUAUGAUUGACGUAAGUAGGAGCUCAGGAUCACUUCUUGAUCAUUACUAGUUGAUGACCGUUCCUUUGCUCCUCUUCUUGCUCUCAUUUGCGUAUGUUAGCCACCAUAUCAUGCUUAGACGCUGCUGCAACCUCACCACUUUACCCCUUCCUUUCCCAUUAAGCUUUUCUAGUCUUGAUACCCAUGGUAAUAGGAUUGCCGAGUCCUCGUGGAUCACAGAUUACUACAACAACAGUUGCAGGUACAGGUUAUGCGAUGAUCUUGACGUGAGAGCGAUGUUUUCUUGUUUUGGAGUUCUUCUUCUGCUUCUUCUUUAACCAGGGGAUAGGUUCCAGGUCGGCAGCCUGGGCUAGCAGGGUGGAUGUCGUUUGAGUUUCUGUUUGUGUUUCAUCCGUAGUCGGAUGGUGCUCUUAUGUAAGAUGAUGUUGUAUUCAUGUGGCAUUGUAUGCCUUUUGUAUGUAUCCCCAUCUAUUAUGUAAUGUUGAUGUAAUGAUAUCCACCUUGCAAAAGCGUUUCAAUAUGCGGUUCUAUCCUUGGUGGGACUGUCGAGUCUCUUUAAGAUAGUAUCGCAUAUUGGGCGUGAUAGUAAGUGUAUCGGUGCUUGGUGAAAACGAAUUAUAGUCGACCUGGAUAUAUGUAGGGAGAUCAGUUCAUAUACAUGCCUGCAUGUGUUAGAAGCAAAUAAGGUCCGGAGAGGCAGACAUGGGGAGAGAGUGUGGCUAGGAGGUGGUGCGAGAGGCCUACCAUGUCGAGGGGGGAGGAGUAUGCGAGCAUGUGACUAAUUAAAAGAGGGGCGGCAGUGUGCACCUGCGUGGAAUCGUAUUGGACAUAUGGGGGCAUGGACGGUGAGAAGAGAAGAGGGGAAGUAUAUAUGUGUUUGUUGUAGGCACACUUGGAUAGAGAGAUAUAUCGACCGGUGUGUGCCAGAAAGAAGGAGCCGGGGGCCUACACACACCGCUGGUGGACGACCUAAAGAGAAAUAAUGAACGUGCGCAAUGGAGGGGACGCUAAGGGUGUGUGAGGGGGCGGGCGUGUGCAUGCAUGAUAGAAAGUUAGUGCUAGCUAGCUACAAAUAGAAGAGGAUCGUGAAGGUGUAAAAGACGAACAAAGAUCAUAAUUCAUUAUGAAAAGGUGGAUACGGAUACUUGAAGAAGAUAUCAUAAUGUACAACAUUGAUUAUAAUUUGGGCUAAUGUGUGGCUUUUGCAACUCAGGUCUAAAUACUUGUCAUAAUGUAGGGGGCGGGGCACUAUAUUUUGUGUGAUAAACACGGUGUACGUAUGGAACAUGGUUUAGAUUAUGAAUAUAAAGUUAGUACAUCAAAUAUACUAUUAUUUGGAAUCAACAUCAAGUGUAUUCAAAAAAUAGAAUUCGAGUUCAUGUAGUACACAUAGUUCAUAUCUAUCUCUAUAGUAAUCAUGUGGUGUGUUAUUAAGGUAAUACACGAAUGAUGGUUGAAGUUGGCAACAAUCAUGAUUGUAGAUUCUUAUUGAAAUAGAGAAAUGAAUUCAAAUUUAGUUCGGAUUGCAGAGGUAGUAUAGACAUUUGGAAUGCACUAAAAUGUUGGUAUGAGUAGGUUACAUGCAUUAUACAACAAAGCGAAAAAAAAUUAAUCGGACAUAACAUGGAUUCAUACUCCCUCCUUCCAUCUAUAUAGGGCAUAAUGAGAUUUUUAAGACCGCCUUUGACUAUUGACAAGAUUAAUAGUACAUGACAUGCACAAUGUGAAAAUUAUAUCAUUGAAAGAACCUUUCACAGACGAAGUUAACGGUGUGCUUUGUGUAAGUUGCAUGUCAUAUAUCAUUGCUCUAAUAUUUGGUCAAAGUUAGCAUCGAAAAACGCAUUAGGCCCUAUAUAGAUGGAAGGAGGGAGUAGCUUUGAAUAGCAUUUGUAUAGUAAAACAGGGCAAGACUCUAUCUUUGUGUGGUGUGAAUAGUUUUAUUUUUUUCGUUUUCUUUUUGGUUGAGGGAAGUGCGAAUUGAUUUGGUACGUACAAGUACAAUAUUACUACAUGUUAGGCUUGUCCCUAAAAUUCAACCCGUGUCUUGUUAUAUCCCGAAAAUUCAGAUAUUGUGCUCCCAAAACUAGCGCCUUCACAACCCGCGCCUUGCUAUCCCGAAAUUACAACGUGCGCGAAAACACCCUCCAGCUGCCAAAUCCCGACACAAGAAAUCCCCCUUCUAACCCUGAGCUGAAAGGGCCGCUAGUUCAAAUCGGUGGGGGGUACUUUUGUAACACACCCUACAUUUUGGACAAGCGCGUCCCCAAGUCAUGCUUCACCCCCUCCCAUCGCUCCCUUUUCGCCAUUCGAAAUCCCAGGCCGCCAUAACCUCUCCACUCCAGCCACGAAACCCCACCCUCCUCCGCCCGCCACGUCACCGCUGCCCAGCCGGAGCCUCUUCCCCGACGACGUCGUCCACCGCAAUAGCUCGACGUCCCUCGUCCACCUCCCCGGAUGAGGAUCCGUCGUCCAUCUCGCCGUCCCGCCGGUUCAACCGCCCCGUCCUCCACCUCCAAGGAGUUGCUCCGACGAUCGCCUCGUCUAUCAUGGCUGCUCCAUCCCCACAGCGCCGCCUUAACCUGCUCCACCGGAACCGCAACAUCCUCACCGACUCCUCGGACAAAGCCGAGGCCUACUCGGCACCACCAAAGAGGUUGUACACUCAUCGCAUCGCACCUUCUCCUUAACUCAACCUACCGGCGCCAACGGUGCUCCAUCCCGCACCCCCAUGGAGCGGCUACCUUGAAGCCGGCACCGCGGGCGACAUCUCCAUGGCGGCUCUCCCCCAGUGCGAGGCCCCUUCGGCGGCGGUGUCCAUACCAGCCGGAUCUGUUGCUGCUGCUCCGGCUCUCGCUCGCUCUCUCGCGCUGUUGCUGCUGCUCCAGCUCUCGCUCGCUCGCUCGCGCUGCUGCUGCUGCUCCGGCUCUCGCUCAGUCGCUCGCUCGCCCAGCUGCUGCUGCUGCUCUCCCCCUCGCUCGUGCUGCUGCUCUGCUCCGAUUAAGCCACACUACAGUCGACUGAAUCGACUUUUGGGUCAGUCGAUUUUUAGGGGUUGGGGGGGCUCGCCGGAGUUAAGGAAGAACCACCCGCAGCAGGCACGGAGGCUCGCCGGAGAGGUACCCCACUAUAUAUCUUAGGGUUUAGGGUGGGGGCGGGGGGGCUAGAGGGCUGGCCGGGGCGGCGGUGGCGAGUUGUUUCGGGGCGGCGAGGCGGCGCUGGGGCCGGUGGUUUGGCCGGUGGUGGCAGCGGCUCAGGGGUGUGCAGGUUGAAGAUGAACUGCAGGCCCUCCCUAAACUACAUGUCAAGUGCCUCUCUGCUACCAUUGCAUUCAGUUUCGACAGUAGCAUUCGGAUUCCACAGUAAAUUUCUGUUUCGACGGUUAAGUUCAGAGUCAACAGUUUUUACCUCAUCUGUUGUAGUCAGGUGGUUUUUGGUGAUGUUAAUUUUACAUCCAUUUUUCAUCAUCUAUUGGAGAUGCUAUUAGAAUCCCACUUGAGAUUGACGAUGUCUGUCUUGUGCUGCUUCAGCCUUGACGUCUUACGGCUCACCGGAGCUGCUCCAACGACAGAACGAUCCAUCACAACAGAGCAGUGCCCUGGACGCCGUCUAUAGAUUCCUCAGAUCUUCCUCCACACCUUCGACAACCACCUCUACCUCAACUGCUUCAGCGACCAACCCAAUGAUGCUGAGGUCGACACGGCUAUGGCAAACAGGUUGUACACUUGUUGCAUCACUUAUUACUAUACAUUCACGUCGAUCCAUUAGGGCUAUUUUGGUUCAACGGAAAAACAUAGUAAUAGGGAAUUUUCCAAUGGCACUCUACUAUUCAAUAAUUCAUUCAUUUUGUUGAAAGGAAUGAAGCAAAACAUCCACCUGGACCUACUUUUCAAAAUCCUAUGCAUGAAAACAAGACCAAGUGCAUUAGUGCCAGAAUAACAUUCUAACUGUACACGCUUUCAUAUGGUUUCUCUUUAUUUUGGCCAUGUUUCUUUGCAUUCCUCUGCUCUUCCAAUUCUUGUAAAGCAAUCAUCAUCUGUCUUUUUAUUAAUUUAAAGCAAUCAUCAUCCUGCUAUCAUUAUUUUUGGAUCCAUCCACUGGUUGUUACCAUCACUCUAAAUUUCUGCAUUCUCUCCUUACAUAAUAUCACCAUAUUUUUUGGUAUGCAUGUCAGAUAUUGUACACAGUCAUGCUGAACAAGUAGAGAAAAAGAGAAGAGUUUUGCGCGGCAAUACAAUGUCAUGCAGACAUCGCUCCAUGGUGGGUUCAAUGGCAAACCCUCCCCACUCCUCUCCAGAUUGUAAUCCAGAGGAAGAUAUCUGUUCUGAGGCAGAUUUAGACGCCGCUGACCACUCCUAUUUACCCCCCAAGGUGUUUGCUCUACCUUGGCAUGAUGAUGUUAGUCAUAUCAUGCAUAUGUUGCCUUGCAGUGCCUACUUUUGACAUCAUAUAUGUCAUCUGCUUAGUUUAGACAUGUUCUGUAAUGCCACCUGUUUAGUUUCUAUAUCAUAUAUGGGAAUUAUGCAGUCUCAUGUCUUUUAGCCAUCCAUAAUAUAUGUGAAAUGUGCAAUGCCAUCCUGUUUAACCAGGCAUCAUAUAUUUGAAUGAUAUCUUGCCCAUCCUUUUCUUCAUUACAUUUCCAUUUGUCGAUAAUUUUUGUACAUUAAACUACUCUUCCUGUGAAUCAGCCAUUUGGGUGGGAGAUGGAAAAAUCUGGAGUGAAAACAAGGCCUUCAGAGCAGACAGUGCUACCUAUGGAAGCAGAUCUCUUGUUGGGUCCCGAUAGCUCCUCAGAGAUGGAUUUAGAGACAGAUGACCAGUCUUAUUCCCCUACUGAGGUGUAUGCUCUAACUUGGGACGGUUAUACUGCUCAUAUCAUGCAUAUGGUGUCUUGCAUUGCAUAGUUUAGACAUCAUAUACACAAUAUUGAACACCAUGUUCUUAGUUCACACAUCAUAUCGAAUGCCCUCUGUUUAGCAUAUAAAUCACAUAUGUGAAUUAAAUGAUGUGAUCCUGAUUACUUAGAUAACAUGUAGGUGAAUUAUGUGAUGCGAUCUUGUUUUGUUAUUCAUCAUAUCUUUGAAUUAUGUUAUGCUAUGCUGUCCAGUUUAGAUAGACAUCAUAUAUGUGAAAUUAUGUCAUGCUAUCCGUUUUAGUUAAAAAAAUAUACAUGUCAACUAUUUCAUGCCCUCUUUUUUCCACACUAUCUAUUGCAUCUAUCUCUCAUACAAUGUCUGUACAUUCAACUAUGUUUCCUGUUUAUCAACCAUUUGAAUUGGAGCGGGUGAUGCCAGUAUCUAGCGGAAUAAAAACACGGUCUUCAAAUAAAACAGUGCUUCCUAUUGGUGGAGAUAGCACCCCGGUUGUACAUGCACAAGAACCAGCCCUACCACACAUAACCCAAACUCUCACAGAUUGUACGCCUACUGCGAUGGACAGAGAACCAGCUUCACCCAAUCUAACCCCAACCCCAGCCGAUAGUAACCCAGUUCCUGUUGACACAGCAUCAUCUCCGCCACAGAGCUCCCAAACAAGAGCAGUUAGUAAGGUAGCUCCAGUGCCCAAAGGGCCAGUACUAUCACGGCGAACCCCAGCUCCACCAAUUAGUACGCCUAUUCCCGUGGAGGAAGCACAACCAGCUAGUCGUACUUUAGCAUCUAUCGCAUUUGAUGUUGUUAAAUCGUAUGUGCGUAUCUUCCCAUCUUGGAAAUAUUAUACUGAAGAUGAAGGAAAAUGCCAGUUGCAGGUGUUUGUCCAGGAGUUAUGUGUAAGUAAUGUUAUUCAUGGCAAUUACUUUGCUUCGUCCCAUACAUCCUACCUCCAUGAUGGUUAUAAUACAACAAAUUUUCCCAUUUUUCUCUAUAGAGAAGGACCGAUUUGGAAACUCAGGAUGAGGUAACCUGUGCUAAUACCUCUGCUAUCUUCAAGAAUGCUUGGUGGCAAUAUCAGAAUUACCUGAAGAAAAUGUACUUCAACGGCAAAGAAACUCAUCAAAUUCCCUUACGUUCUCCUGAGACACAUUUACUGGACGAUGACUGGGAACGCCUUGUUCUGUACUGGUCCCGAACCAAGAAUGUGGUAAGGUCUAUGAGCUCAUUUUCUAUUUUUAAGUAUUAUAUUCUUGUGUUUUACUGUACUCUGUUCAUGUAGAACAAGUGCCUAAACCUAAAGAAUAACUGUUCUAGUUUAAGAUUCCAUUGCUAUCAUAGUUCAAAAAAGCGCUAGGCAUUAAUUGUGCAUUUUUCCACCGCCUUGCACUUUACUGACCAAAGCGCAUGCUUAUGCGCAGUUAUGCACAGAUUAAGCAUAGUUAUGUGCAAUGCGUUUUGCCAACGCCUAGAGCCUAGGCGCGCUUAAGCGCUCGCUUAGGCGCGCCUUUUUUUUAACUAUGAUUGCUUUGCUCUUGUAUCAUUGUAUUUACUCAUACAAACUUAUUUUUGAAUUGAAGGAUCCAAUCGAAACUCCAAUGGCACGGCAGGUAUGUUCACGCAUGUUUCUUUAACAGGUUUGCUCUUAUCAAUAGCUCUUUUGAUUUCACUUUCAAUUGUGUAUACAGUUGACUUUCAUAUCAUGCACAUUACUAGCAUCACAACAGAGCCAAUAGUGUUGUUGUACAUGUAGACCCAUGGUACCCAUCUGAAAUCUUGUUGUGCCGUGUAGUUUCCCACGCUUUGUAUUCUUUCACUGCUGCUUUGUCUUGAAAUGAUAUGAUUUGAACCGUUUCUCUAUUUUGAUUUGGCAAGACAAUGCAGUGACCAUAGGACAUAGAUAUAUGUUUGUUUGAUGCUUUUAUUAUGUACUAGUACUUGGCAAUAGAAGACUUGGUAGUUUAAUCAUGUCCACCUUACUAAUGAACUGGUUCACCGAAAUGAGUUUCAUAUACUAGUACAUGCUAAACUUGUUAUGUGUCUGCUUGUUUCUUCUUUUAGAAUGCUGACAGAAUAUUGGGGAAGAGUGCCUUAUUAAGCAGUGGUAAAGGAAGUAAUGCAGAUAAGGUUCAGGAUAGUGACACAUCCUUGUUGGUCUCCAACAAAGCUGAUAAAACAGCUAAGAAAGACUAUCUUGAAGACAGCGAGACAACCCCAAAGUCCUGUCUUGGUUUAGUGUUCGAGUUACUGGCCACUACCGCUUGCACAAGCUAUUCAAACUCACUGUCUGAAUCAGUUCAGUUUCUUGAGUCUCAACUACAAGCUGAAAGACAUCGAUCAGCUGUGCUGCGACAAGAAGCGGAAGGACUGCGGAAGUCCCUGGAGCAUUCAGAUGCAUACUUUCUGGUGCAACAGCAAGCGUUGGAGGAUUUUAGCGCCAAACAGGACAAAGCUAAUCAGCUUGCUAAGCUUAUUGCCAGCAUGGUGGAUACCCAGGAUAACGUUUCUUGAGCUCUUCUGAAGUUGUUUCAGUUAUGCUCUUGUUUUGCUGCCGCGUUUAUUUGCACUGGUGGCCAAUUUUGACGGCCAAGUGUAUGUAAUAUGCUGCUUUGUUCCCUAUAUUUGCACUGGUGGCGAACUUUGAUGCCCAGUGGAUGUAAUGUGUGUAAUAGCGGUAAUAGGCUAGCCUUAAUUGCUUGCUUAUUUAUUUCCUUAUUGUCUUGUUUAGUUGUUUGCUUGUAGUCACUGCAGUUCUUUUUCUGUGUUUUUCUAGUGGCCACAAUAGCCUAUUUUUGGUAACUAGGCCAAAAUAAUCAUGGCAACACACGGACUGUUGUAACCAUGGGCCUCUUGCAGGCCGUAUGAUCCAUGGGCCUUCGUUCGGCCGUAGGAGCAUUGGCCUUCUAUACGGGCCAUAGGAUCCAUCGGCCUUCUAUACGGGCCUUAGGGAUCAAUAGGCCUUCUAUGGGUUGUAGGGUCCAUGGGCCUUCUACAGGCCGUACUAUCCAUGGGCCUCAUACGGGCUGUAGGAUCCAUGGGCCUUCUACGAGGCGUAUCAUCAUUUCGCCAAUCAUGGGUCAUACUAUUCGUGGACCAUAACGGAUCGUUAAUAGGCCGUAUUUGAUAACUCUAUGAAAACAGCCCAACGGGUUUUUUUGACAUGAAAACGGCCCAACAUAUUAACGGUCCGCAAACGGGCCGACUGUAACGACGGGCUGAAUUUGGCCCACAAGCAGAAAAUGACAUUAACGGGCCGUAUGUAACCGAAUGCUGCAAAUGAGCCCAAGAAUCAAUGGGCCCUGAGAAGGCCGAAAGAUAACUUGGGCUGGAAAUAGCCCAAUGGAAUAACGGGCCGUUAAUGGGUAUAAAGUGAUACAUUGUUCAUUACGGGCCAGUUUCACCACGGGCCGUUAAUGGGCCAAGAGUUACAAAGGUCCUCAUAUGGGCCGAAAGAAGUCAUGGGCCACACAUGGUCCGGAAGUUAAAAGGGGCUGAAUCAUAUUGGACGGCCCAGAUGACGCUACUGGGCCUAAUUCGGAUAGGGCGUAACGGGCCCUGGGUUAGCGGGCUGUAAAUGGGCUAUAUGCAAACAGGUCGUUAACAGGCUUUCCGUGGGCCGACCCGCCAUCUUUUGACCAAGUUAAACGGGCCGGCCUUUUCACAGAAAUGGGCCUUUGUUGGGCCGUGCCACGUGUCGCCGUAUCAUAGGCGCCUUCGGUCCAAUGAGCGGAUGACAUCUGUCCCAACGGUGAGCCGACACGUGUUUCCUCCAGCCAAUGAUGAUUUUACACGUGGAAAAUCCCCAUUGGUCGGGGCUGUUAACGGGUUAUCGGAUCCAUAACCCGACCCGAUAGCUUAACGGCGUUCCAUUAUGGUGGAUGCCACGUGUCGGUCACCCUUGACGAAAGCAGUUCUGUGACGCGUGGUUUAUCGUCAUGGAAGUGGACACUUCCGUGAUGAUAAUUUUGGUAAUGUCAUGGAACACUUCUACGACAGCACAUGUAUGACUAUCUAGAUUCUGUCAUAAAUUUGUCAUGGAUGUACAUGCAUGACAAAAAAUGCGACCUACUAUGACAAACAUGUAUCAUCACGGAAGUGUAUUUUUUUAGUGCAAGCAUCAUUUUUGCAGACCAGGUAAACAUGACUUUUGCUUCUUUUUGCACAAACUACUUUUCGCAAAAGGAGAAAUUUUAUGCAAGGGUAGUGCCACUAGUACAUAUAUGUAGGAAUAAACUCACUUUUUAAGAGCGCUACCUACUAGCAUGUGUGUGUGUGAUUUAAUCAUUCAAUGACGAUGGACAACAUCCUGAAUGCCUGAUAUUGUUUUUUAUGCGACAGAAGUCCAUCUUUAACAAAUGUGAGUGGCUUGUGGUUGAUACACGGUGCAAAAUUCUUUUCCUUAUGUACUGUGAUUUCCAUUUUGUCGCUCACACUAGCCGGGUUUGUAGAAGUAAUUCCAUGUGUUAUUAUGCAAGGGAAAAGACAUAAUCUUCAUAGAUCAUUUUUUGUUUGGAGGAAAUGGAAGCAUGAUUAACUAAUAUUUUGACUUUUCUUGGCAGAGUAAAUAUAGUGGAACUAAGACAAUUUAACUAGAUGAACUGAGACAAUUUUAACAAGUUGAAAUGAUACAGUCAAACUGAUUAUUAGCACAUCUAGGUAUAUAUACAGGCAAAUGGAGAUGGUGUAAAAAUAAAAUGCAAAAAUGGAGAAAAAUGUCUAGAUGUAAACUAUUGCAGGCCCCAAAAUCCAACCAGCGGUAGCAAAAUUAACCUUUCAUGAUACAGACUAGAUUAUGCUUCACCCACGUGAAUGGUGAUAUAAGAUAAAGCACUGAAGAUCUCCUACAUACGCACUCCUCCUUAAACUGAACUGGCUAAACAAAACACCAAUUCUCCCCCUGCCAAGACCACUAAUCUCCCUCGGAAUUCAGCAAGCAGCAGCAUCGAGACAAGCCUUGAAAGCAAGCAGCCUCUCGCCAGCAAGACCGCUAGCGGAAUUUCAACGACAGACAAGAAAGAAAUGCUAAGCUGCAUAGAGACGGUCGGAUUGGGCAGACUGGGUGCGGUGCACGUACCUGAGGAAUGGAAGGGAAGUAGGGAGCAGGGGUGAAUGGCCGAGGGUGACAGUGGUGAACUGCCCGGGGUAGUGGUGGUGAACGGUCUGUGCUGGAUGUUGUCCUCCUCGGGGCAGAAGUGGCUAAGGAGGAGGCCAACCUGUAAGCACGGGAAGGAGGCGAUGCAGUAGCACCACUACAUCCACAGCACCGUCGAGGUGAGCACCGAGCCCUGGAGAGAUGAAAUG